rnacentral:lncRNA from 10 species
CCAAAUUCAAACGGUAGUAGCCAGCCCUCCGCCAGAGAAAGGCAACGACAUUGCCAAUUCUUUGCGAGGAUUCUGGGAGCAGUAACCUUGGAGCUCUGUGUAGGCGGCCAGGCUUCCGCUACAGGAGGGCGUGGCUGUGACGAUUAUCUCAUUGGGGAUUCUGGGGUUAUAAUACAGGAAUUGUGGGUAAGUACAGUCACUUCUGCUCCAUGAAAGUGAGGUCAUCAUUCGUUUCAGGAAGUUGAGUGAGGCCUGAGACAGCAAUGUUUCGUUUAGCCUGGCGGUGGCCCUCCUUGUCUUCAAGAAGAGCAUCCGUGGCUAGCAGUGGAAGAUGGGGUUGGGCCCCAGGACUGACCAGGCAGUUCUGCCACCUUCUAGGAGUGUGAAAUUGGGAAGUAAUUCAAAAUGUAUGUGCCUAGCAUUCCUUUUAUGUAACAUGAGGGGAAUAGAAGUACCAAACCGAUGCAGUUCAGUGGAGAAUUAAAUGAGAUAGUCACAAGUAAAAGGUGGUAAGUGUGGUUCAUUUUAUUAAUUUUCUUUUAAUUUCCCGAGAAGCCCCAGUUACCUGAAAGCUUCUGUGAGCCUGGGAAGGGAUCAGAGUUCCACCUGCAGUGCUAUUUUGCCCCUUCUUUCUGAUCCUUACAGGAAGCAGGACGAUUCCUGGAUUCCCUUUUUAAAAAAAGACGCGAUCUUACUGCAUUGACCAGGAUGGUCUCAAACUCCUGGCUACAGGCUAUCCUCCUGCCUCUGUCUCCCAAAGCGCUGGGAUUACAAGCGUGAGCCACCAGGCCUGGCCCAAUUGCUUCUUAACAACUUACUAUUCUUUGUUCACUACAGUGUAUACAUAACUGACUUUUUAUUUGGAUCUUCAUUUUGUAAUGAAGGCUCUGGUCACAUGUAAGACUUGUAUUAAAUAAAUUUGCCUGCUGUUCUGUUAAUCUGUGUUAUGCUAAUUUAAUUCUUGAGCCCAGCUGGGUCCUGGAGAGGAUAGAGUGAAAUUUUGUGGCAGCUACGUAAGUCAAUGAAAUUGGAAACAGAAAAACAAUCUUUAAAAAUCAAUAAAAUCAUAAACUUAUUCUUUGAGAAGAUCAAUAUAGUUUAUAAACCUUUCAACUGACUCACCCACAGGGAAAAAGAAGAAAACAAAAAUCAGGAGGGAGGGAAUGUUAUUACAAAUUUUGCGGAUAUUAAAAGGAUUAUAAGGGAACAUUACAAACAACUCCUUGUCCAUAAAUUGAUCAAUUUACAUGACAUGGAAUAUUACUUGAAAGGCACAAACUACCAAAGCUCACUCAGGAAGAAUGGAUAACCUAGAUACUUGCGUGUAUGUAUGUGUGUGCAUACAUACAAUUUUUACACACACACACACACACACACAUAUAUAUAUAUAUAUGCACAGUUAAUUUUUUCUAUCUUUUGUAGAGAUGGGUUUUUACCAUGUUGCCUGGGCUGGUCUUGAACUCCUGGGCUCAAGCGCUCUGCCCACCUUGGCCUCCCAAAGUGCUGGGAUUACAGGCUUGAAACACUGCACCUGCCUGGCCUGAUAUAUAUUUCAAAACUGAUUUAAUAGAUAAAGCCUUCCAACAACAACAAUAAAAAAAACAAUAUUGAGAUGAAUUCAUUGGUGGAUUCUACUAAACAUUUAAAGAGUAAAGAUGUGAAUUUUAAAUAAACCCAGAAACAAAAAGAGAAGGGAACACCCA